AUGGCCCCAAGAAAUGCGCGUAAUAAUUUCUACAUUUUGGGCUCCGGUAGCGGGAAUGGCAACGCUGGGACCAAAGGCAUGUCGGAAUGGAUAGGCUUGUCCUUGUGCCGAAAAUGUGUUGACUUGGACGGAGUGUGGACCAAGUGUCUGAUAUCUGUUGGAAUUACAUUGCUCCUGGUGCCGUCCAUAUUUGCCAUAGACGAUAAUUCUACAAUAUCCAUCCAUCCAUCCAGAUAAUUCUUCACUAUCUAACCAUCCAUCUGUCCAGAUAAUUCUACAAUAUCCAUCCAUCCAGGUAAUUCUACACUAUCCAUCCAGAUAAUUUUACACUAAUCUGUCUGUCUGUCUAUCAUCAGUAAAGUACUUUGUUCACAUUU
ensembl:lncRNA